rnacentral:rRNA from 1 species
UACGUAGGGCGCGAGCGUUGUCCGGAAUCAUUGGGCGUAAAGAGCUCGUAGGCGGCCUGUCGCGUCUGCUGUGAAAUCCCGGGGCUCAACCCCGGGCGUGCAGUGGAUACGGGCUGGCUGGAGGCAGGCAGGGGAGAACGGAAUUCCCGGUGUAGCGGUGAAAUGCGCAGAUAUCAGGAGGAACACCGAUGGCGAAGGCAGGUCCCUGGGCAUUAACUGACGCUGAGGAGCGAAAGCAUGGGGAGCGAACAGG